GGUUAAGCGACUAAGCGUACACGGUGGAUGCCCUGGCAGUCAGAGGCGAUGAAGGACGUGCUAAUCUGCGAUAAGCGUCGGUAAGGUGAUAUGAACCGUUAUAACCGGCGAUUUCCGAAUGGGGAAACCCAGUGUGUUUCGACACACUAUCAUUAACUGAAUCCAUAGGUUAAUGAGGCGAACCGGGGGAACUGAAACAUCUAAGUACCCCGAGGAAAAGAAAUCAACCGAGAUUCCCCCAGUAGCGGCGAGCGAACGGGGAGGAGCCCAGAGCCUGAAUCAGUGUGUGUGUUAGUGGAAGCGUCUGGAAAGGCGCGCGAUACAGGGUGACAGCCCCGUACACAAAAAUGCACAUGCUGUGAGCUCGAUGAGUAGGGCGGGACACGUGGUAUCCUGUCUGAAUAUGGGGGGACCAUCCUCCAAGGCUAAAUACUCCUGACUGACCGAUAGUGAACCAGUACCGUGAGGGAAAGGCGAAAAGAACCCCGGCGAGGGGAGUGAAAAAGAACCUGAAACCGUGUACGUACAAGCAGUGGGAGCCUCUUUAUGGGGUGACUGCGUACCUUUUGUAUAAUGGGUCAGCGACUUAUAUUCUGUAGCAAGGUUAACCGAAUAGGGGAGCCGAAGGGAAACCGAGUCUUAACUGGGCGUUAAGUUGCAGGGUAUAGACCCGAAACCCGGUGAUCUAGCCAUGGGCAGGUUGAAGGUUGGGUAACACUAACUGGAGGACCGAACCGACUAAUGUUGAAAAAUUAGCGGAUGACUUGUGGCUGGGGGUGAAAGGCCAAUCAAACCGGGAGAUAGCUGGUUCUCCCCGAAAGCUAUUUAGGUAGCGCCUCGUGAAUUCAUCUCCGGGGGUAGAGCACUGUUUCGGCAAGGGGGUCAUCCCGACUUACCAACCCGAUGCAAACUGCGAAUACCGGAGAAUGUUAUCACGGGAGACACACGGCGGGUGCUAACGUCCGUCGUGAAGAGGGAAACAACCCAGACCGCCAGCUAAGGUCCCAAAGUCAUGGUUAAGUGGGAAACGAUGUGGGAAGGCCCAGACAGCCAGGAUGUUGGCUUAGAAGCAGCCAUCAUUUAAAGAAAGCGUAAUAGCUCACUGGUCGAGUCGGCCUGCGCGGAAGAUGUAACGGGGCUAAACCAUGCACCGAAGCUGCGGCAGCGACACUAUGUGUUGUUGGGUAGGGGAGCGUUCUGUAAGCCUGCGAAGGUGUACUGUGAGGUAUGCUGGAGGUAUCAGAAGUGCGAAUGCUGACAUAAGUAACGAUAAAGCGGGUGAAAAGCCCGCUCGCCGGAAGACCAAGGGUUCCUGUCCAACGUUAAUCGGGGCAGGGUGAGUCGACCCCUAAGGCGAGGCCGAAAGGCGUAGUCGAUGGGAAACAGGUUAAUAUUCCUGUACUUGGUGUUACUGCGAAGGGGGGACGGAGAAGGCUAUGUUGGCCGGGCGACGGUUGUCCCGGUUUAAGCGUGUAGGCUGGUUUUCCAGGCAAAUCCGGAAAAUCAAGGCUGAGGCGUGAUGACGAGGCACUACGGUGCUGAAGCAACAAAUGCCCUGCUUCCAGGAAAAGCCUCUAAGCAUCAGGUAACAUCAAAUCGUACCCCAAACCGACACAGGUGGUCAGGUAGAGAAUACCAAGGCGCUUGAGAGAACUCGGGUGAAGGAACUAGGCAAAAUGGUGCCGUAACUUCGGGAGAAGGCACGCUGAUACGUAGGUGAAGUCCCUUGCGGAUGGAGCUGAAAUCAGUCGAAGAUACCAGCUGGCUGCAACUGUUUAUUAAAAACACAGCACUGUGCAAACACGAAAGUGGACGUAUACGGUGUGACGCCUGCCCGGUGCCGGAAGGUUAAUUGAUGGGGUUAGCGGUAACGCGAAGCUCUUGAUCGAAGCCCCGGUAAACGGCGGCCGUAACUAUAACGGUCCUAAGGUAGCGAAAUUCCUUGUCGGGUAAGUUCCGACCUGCACGAAUGGCGUAAUGAUGGCCAGGCUGUCUCCACCCGAGACUCAGUGAAAUUGAACUCGCUGUGAAGAUGCAGUGUACCCGCGGCAAGACGGAAAGACCCCGUGAACCUUUACUAUAGCUUGACACUGAACAUUGAGCCUUGAUGUGUAGGAUAGGUGGGAGGCUUUGAAGUGUGGACGCCAGUCUGCAUGGAGCCGACCUUGAAAUACCACCCUUUAAUGUUUGAUGUUCUAACGUUGGCCCCUGAUCGGGGUUGCGGACAGUGUCUGGUGGGUAGUUUGACUGGGGCGGUCUCCUCCUAAAGAGUAACGGAGGAGCACGAAGGUUGGCUAAUCCUGGUCGGACAUCAGGAGGUUAGUGCAAUGGCAUAAGCCAGCUUGACUGCGAGCGUGACGGCGCGAGCAGGUGCGAAAGCAGGUCAUAGUGAUCCGGUGGUUCUGAAUGGAAGGGCCAUCGCUCAACGGAUAAAAGGUACUCCGGGGAUAACAGGCUGAUACCGCCCAAGAGUUCAUAUCGACGGCGGUGUUUGGCACCUCGAUGUCGGCUCAUCACAUCCUGGGGCUGAAGUAGGUCCCAAGGGUAUGGCUGUUCGCCAUUUAAAGUGGUACGCGAGCUGGGUUUAGAACGUCGUGAGACAGUUCGGUCCCUAUCUGCCGUGGGCGCUGGAGAACUGAGGGGGGCUGCUCCUAGUACGAGAGGACCGGAGUGGACGCAUCACUGGUGUUCGGGUUGUCAUGCCAAUGGCACUGCCCGGUAGCUAAAUGCGGAAGAGAUAAGUGCUGAAAGCAUCUAAGCACGAAACUUGCCCCGAGAUGAGUUCUCCCUGACUCCUUGAGAGUCCUGAAGGAACGUUGAAGACGACGACGUUGAUAGGCCGGGUGUGUAAGCGCAGCGAUGCGUUGAGCUAACCGGUACUAAUGAACCGUGAGGCUUAACCUU
rnacentral:rRNA from 1 species